GGGACGUGCCUGCUAGCCCUGCAGCCAGGGACUCUCUCUCCUUCCUUGGCUGCCCUCGUGGACGCCGGGUGAGAGGCUCCACAAGCGGCUUUGACCCUAUUCCCCCAGGUCUCAGGAGCCCCUCCACAGUCCUGCCCUAACCUAAAGCAUGUUUCCAAGGAGCCAUCUCCCCUUUUUCCUCAUGCCUAUCAUCUGCCAGUACUGUUCCCCCACCACACACAUAAGAGUGGAAUCUCUCACUAGUUGUGCAAGAUGAAGCAAUGCAAUGCCGAUCAUGAAGAUCCAGAGACAGCCUGAGGGUACCUGGGCUUCCUUAUCUUCUCUCUGGACUGGUAAUCUGCUGCCUGAACCUGGGCGAAGGUGAAAGAUGAAACAGAGACCAGCAGAGGACAAAAU